AGCUGUCAGUUUGUAAUGCAAACAAAGUGUUGAAGUGGAUCUAGUAGUUGAUGUGUUUCUAAAUCAUUCAAAUAACAGAAAUAUAUUAGAUACGAUUCCGAAAAUGAACCAAAACAACGUGGCGCAGUACGGUAGAGGUAAGAAGAUUCCUGCAUCUGGAAAAAGAUCCCGCAAUAUUUUGGAGAAGGAAAAUGAAGAACCUGGAACUAAAAAAAAAGCGUGCAAUAUAGUCCAACCGAAGUCAAGCCGACCAAUUGCAGAUUUUAAAACCGUCAUCAAACCGUCAAAGACAAAAACGGAAACCAUUGUGAAAGAAGAAGUUGUUUCCGAUAAAAGCACAACGAAGGAUACGAUCCAAGCAGCAAGCACCUCGUCAUCGUCAUAUCCCAAAACGGAAAACAAAAAAAAGGCACCCACUAAUGAAAAUGUUUUAUUAGCUCCCCCAACCGCCGACGUGCAAGCAAUAAUGUCAUACUUAACGAAGUGUCCCUGGCGAUCAUCAAUGAACCCUAAACAAGAACAAGAAACUCCAGUUUGUUCAACACACAAACAAAAUCAACUAGAACCU